rnacentral:misc_RNA from 1 species
AAGGCACAAUAUAUCGCUGUCUGCAAGGAUGGAGACUCAUUUACAUUUUCUAACAAGUCAUGGGAUUCACAAUCUCUUCCAGUCACCAAGGAAGUUCCACAAAGCAGCCCAGCAGCCAACGAUGAUGCUUCUGUAGUAAAAGCCACCCCAGGAACUAAUCCUGAAUCAGGGGGAUCCAAAGAUGAGAUGCUUAAAUUAGCCUUAAACAAGCUCAAGGAAUCUAAGAAGAGUGAUGACGAAUCCAAGAGCCUUACGCUUGAAG